rnacentral:snoRNA from 1 species
UGCACAAGUGAUGAACAGUAAAGGGACUUAAUUCUGAAACCUGAUGUGGUACUGUGAUAUCUGAUGUGC